GACGAACGCUGGCGGCGUGCCUAAUACAUGCAAGUAGAACGCUGAAGGAGGAGCUUGCUUCUCUGGAUGAGUUGCGAACGGGUGAGUAACGCGUAGGUAACCUGCCUGGUAGCGGGGGAUAACUAUUGGAAACGAUAGCUAAUACCGCAUAAUAGCAGUUGUUGCAUGACAACUGUUUGAAAGGUGCAAUUGCACCACUACCAGAUGGACCUGCGUUGUAUUAGCUAGUUGGUGGGGUAACGGCUCACCAAGGCGACGAUACAUAGCCGACCUGAGAGGGUGAUCGGCCACACUGGGACUGAGACACGGCCCAGACUCCUACGGGAGGCAGCAGUAGGGAAUCUUCGGCAAUGGACGGAAGUCUGACCGAGCAACGCCGCGUGAGUGAAGAAGGGUUUCGGAUCGUAAAGCUCUGUUGUAAGAGAAGAACGAGUGUGAGAGUGGAAAGUUCACACUGUGACGGUAGCUUACCAGAAAGGGACGGCUAACUACGUG
rnacentral:rRNA from 1 species